UGUUGAAACCAUUCGAAACAACACAGCGAGUUAAAAUAAGGCUUUGUCCGUACUCAUUUUUGCGCACCGAUUCGGUGCUUUUUUG
rnacentral:sRNA from 1 species